GACGAACUUUGGCGGCGUGCUUAACACAUGCAAGUCGAACGGAAAGGCCCUGCUUUUGUGGGGUGCUCGAGUGGCGAACGGGUGAGUAACACGUGAGUAACCUGCCCUUGACUUUGGGAUAACUUCAGGAAACUGGGGCUAAUACCGGAUAGGAGCUCCUGCUGCAUGGUGGGGGUUGGAAAGUUUCGGCGGUUGGGGAUGGACUCGCGGCUUAUCAGCUUGUUGGUGGGGUAGUGGCUUACCAAGGCUUUGACGGGUAGCCGGCCUGAGAGGGUGACCGGCCACAUUGGGACUGAGAUACGGCCCAGACUCCUACGGGAGGCAGCAGUGGGGAAUAUUGCACAAUGGGCGGAAGCCUGAUGCAGCAACGCCGCGUGCGGGAUGACGACCUUCGGGUUGUAAACCGCUUUCGCCUGUGACGAAGCGUGAGUGACGGUAAUGGGUAAAGAAGCACCGGCUAACUACGUGCCAGCAGCCGCGGUGAUACGUAGGGUGCGAGCGUUGUCCGGAUUUAUUGGGCGUAAAGGGCUCGUAGGUGGUUGAUCGCGUCGGAAGUGUAAUCUUGGGGCUUAACCCUGAGCGUGCUUUCGAUACGGGUUGACUUGAGGAAGGUAGGGGAGAAUGGAAUUCCUGGUGGAGCGGUGGAAUGCGCAGAUAUCAGGAGGAACACCAGUGGCGAAGGCGGUUCUCUGGGCCUUUCCUGACGCUGAGGAGCGAAAGCGUGGGGAGCGAACAGGCUUAGAUACCCUGGUAGUCCACGCUGUAAACGGUGGGUACUAGGUGUGGGGUCCAUUCCACGGGUUCCGUGCCGUAGCUAACGCUUUAAGUACCCCGCCUGGGGAGUACGGCCGCAAGGCUAAAACUCAAAGGAAUUGACGGGGCCCCGCACAAGCGGCGGAGCAUGCGGAUUAAUUCGAUGCAACGCGUAGAACCUUACCUGGGUUUGACAUGGAUCGGGAGUGCUCAGAGAUGGGUGUGCCUCUUUUGGGGUCGGUUCACAGGUGGUGCAUGGCUGUCGUCAGCUCGUGUCGUGAGAUGUUGGGUUAAGUCCCGCAACGAGCGCAACCCUUGUUCACUGUUGCCAGCACGUUAUGGUGGGGACUCAGUGGAGACCGCCGGGGUCAACUCGGAGGAAGGUGGGGAUGACGUCAAGUCAUCAUGCCCCUUAUGUCCAGGGCUUCACGCAUGCUACAAUGGCUGGUACAGAGAGUGGCGAGCCUGUGAGGGUGAGCGAAUCUCGGAAAGCCGGUCUCAGUUCGGAUUGGGGUCUGCAACUCGACCUCAUGAAGUCGGAGUCGCUAGUAAUCGCAGAUCAGCAACGCUGCGGUGAAUACGUUCCCGGGGCU
rnacentral:rRNA from 1 species